AGUAAUCUUUUCUUUUCCCUUAUUUUUCUUUUCUUUUUCUAUCUUUUCUUUUCUCCUUUUUCUUAUUCUUUUCUUUCCUUGCAUGCUGCUUUGGUUCAUGCGUGAAUGCAUGGCCAAUUGCUGCUUUCAUGUUUUGCAGCAACCUCACGCCACUCCCCAGCCAGCCGGCCACCUCCCGCCGGCGACCCACGUCGGCAACCAUCCCCACCGAGACUUUAAGUUGAGUAAUUUCUAGCAUUGUGGCUAGUUGGAAAGAUGAUUUAAUUAAGAUUAAUCACAGGUUUUUGCAUAAACUGACUUGCAUCAGGGUGAUGGGAUUUUAGUGGAGCGUUGGCUGAUUACUUAGCUUAAUUUAUACCAUAGAUUAAAUUUUAUUUUGGUUCUAAUUCCAUUUACUUCCUAUUUUACUGGAUUUUGAAUAAGGGCCGUUAUGGUUCCAACUUGUAAGACUAAAUUGAGUUUUGACUUUUAGUUUUGAAAUUUAUA